CUUCGUGAUCACUGUCCACGGCUGGCCCGUCUUUGCCGCCGGAGACCACCAGGCUGCUGCGAAUGUGGUACCCAAACAAACAGAGGCAUGCCUCAUCGGAGGAGCAAACAUCUGUGUUUUGCGCAAGGGGAGUAGAUACGCGUUGCAAUAUUCAAGGCUUCUGAGUCUUGUCCUUUCUUGGUCCUUCGUCUGCUGCUCUAGGUAGCCAGAAUGAACUGCAUGAAAUUGAGUCAGCUUAUGGUACCAUGUCCUGUAUUCCACCACUGCACAACCAAGCUUCUAUCUCAGAAUAAAAUAUCUUUUAUCCCACACAUAAAAUAUGUCAAAGUGAAAUGUCUAAGAACAAUAAACUUACUGAAAAUACUAUCAUACACAACAUGGCGUAGCGACAGGAAGUGUAUAAUGAAUACUUACAAGAGCCUCAUUCAAUCACGGUUAGACUAUGGCACCAUAGUAUACAACUCUGCCGCCCCGAGUGCACUAAAGAUGCUGGAAUCCAUCUACCACCUGGGUAUCCGUCUGGCCACAGGUGCAUUUAGAACAAGCCCUGUUGUUGUUGUAGAAUCGAAUGAGUGGUCAAUCUGCAGAGAUCAUACAUCAGCUUUACAUAUUUCCUUAAAGUGCACUCUAAUCCUGAACAUCCAUGUUGUGAAACUAUUAACGAUUCGACAUGCACUGCACUUUUCCGUAAUCGACUCUCUGUGAGACAGCCUUUUUCACUCCGUGUGAGGGAGCUUAGCGUGGAAAUGGAUAUCCCACUCUUCGAACACCGUUUAAUGCUUCCAGCAAAGCAGCUACCGCUUUGGGAUUGGUAGAUGAUAGAAUGUGAUAUACCUUUUGUAAGAGUUACAAAAUACGCACCAGAGCUCGAAAUAUGAAUGCAUUUCCAUGCACUCCAACUGAAGUACUGUUGCUUGGAAUUCUACACCGAUGCAUUAAAAUCGCAUGUUGCCGUGUCUUACGCAGCUGUUGGACCCUCUUUCUCUGAAGCAGGUGUACUGAACCCCCAUACAAGCAUCUUUACUGCAGAAGCCUAUGCAGUACUGUCUGCUGUAAAACACAUAAAGAAAUUAAAACUAGAGAAAGUGUUAAUAUUAACGGGCUCAUUAAGUGUUGUAAAAACACUAAUGUCCUUAAGAAAACACAAUAAUAAUGUUUUCAUUGAGCUUUACUCUUUCUUGUGCAAUAUUUAUUCGUCUAGUGGACAUGUGACAAUAUGCUGGGUCAUAGAUGCAUCAAAGAUAAUGUGCUGGCCAAUGAAAUGGCCGCAUCACUUACACCUCAAGCUGGUAAUUCCACCACUGCUACUCCUGCCACAGACCUCAAGCCUUAUUUGCAAACGAAACUGCAAAUUUACUGGCAACGCAUGUGGGACAAUGAAACAAAUAAUAAGCUCCAUGUGAUUAAGCCAAGGAUAGGUUUCUGGCCCUCCGUUACAAAAACAAGAUGGACUGAUGUCCUAUUCUGUCGACUCAGAAUAGGACACACAUAUGGCACUCACAAUUUUCUGCUUACAGGCAACGAACCUUCUACCUGUGGUAGAUGUGGUGAAAGGCUCACCAUCCUCCACGUCCUUGUGGAGUGUCGAGAAGCCGAAAGAGAAAGAAGGAAAUGUUUUCCUCUAGCACACCGGUAUUGUCUCCCUCUCCAUCCCGGUAUGUUUCUUGUGCACCCUGGGGGCUGCAUUUCCAGCCAGAAACAGGACCAUUUCCAGCCAGAAUUAGUCACCCCAAGAAGCUUCUCACGCCAGCUGAGUUCGAGGAAUGCAAGCGUGCUGAGACCUCCAUCGUCAUUAUGUGGCUGAGAUGCCUAAGGCCCGGGCCGCCCUACUGGAAUGAAAAUGGAUCACUGAACGUGAACCCUGCAGAUCGAGUAAAUAAACGAGAUUCAACAAUUUCACGUCAAAUAACGAACGUACAGGUUGUUUCAGAUACCUUAUGUCGAGCUUUAAAGAAAUCACAUGUGUAUCAUGACAAUAAAGCCAAUUUAGUAUUGUCAACUGUCCUCUUGAGCAAUUUUACUUUUGAGCUUAGGUAAGUACUUGACAAGAGUUAAUUAACCAAUAUUCAAAGUAUUGCAUUAAAUGCAGAAUUGUCAAUAGAGAACUGUAGAGCCCAUUGAGAAAUAUCGAAAUGAUUUUUUUCCGUGUUCAUAGCUUUGGUGGUUUUAAUUUUUCUGGGCAGCAGAGAAAGCACACGAAAUUUGACAAAGUACCGCUUCACUAAGCAUUUGCGCGCAGGGAAAUUAGGGCCCUCAAACAUGCUACGAAUGAAUGAUUGAGAAAAAAGUGUGCGUGUG